CGUAGGUGGCAAGCGUUGUCCGGAAUUAUUGGGCGUAAAGCGCGCGCAGGCGGGAUAUCAAGUCUGUCUUAAAAGUUCGGGGCUCAACCCCGUGAUGGGAUGGAAACUGGUAUUCUUGAGUGUCGGAGAGGAAAGUGGAAUUCCCAGUGUAGCGGUGAAAUGCGUAGAUAUUGGGAGGAACACCAGUGGCGAAGGCGACUUUCUGGACGAUGUCUGACGCUGAGGCGCGAAAGCCAGGGAAGUGAACGGGAUUAGAUACCCCGGUAAUCCUGGCCGUAAACGAUGGGUACUAGGUGUAGAGGGUAUCGACCCCUUCUGUGCCGGAGUUAACGCAAUAAGUACCCCGCCUGGGGAGUACGGCCGCGAGGUUG
rnacentral:rRNA from 1 species